GCCCUCGUAGCUCAGUGGAUAGAGCAACGGUUUCCUAAACCGUGUGUCGCAGGUUCGAUUCCUGCCGGGGGCACCA
rnacentral:tRNA from 2 species